GUGGGGAAUAUUGCACAAUGGGGGGAACCCUGAUGCAGCGACGCCGCGUGAAGGAGGAAGUGCUUCGGCAUGUAAACUUCUAUCAGCAGGGAAGAAGACGACGGUACCUGACUAAGAAGCCCCGGCUAACUACGUGCCAGCAGCCGCGGUAAUACGUAGGGGGCAAGCGUUAUCCGGAUUUACUGGGUGUAAAGGGAGCGUAGGCGGCCGUGCAAGUCAGAAGUGAAAGCCCAAGGCUCAACCAUGGGACUGCUUUUGAAACUGUGCGGCUGGAUUGCAGGAGGGGCAAGUGGAAUUCCUAGUGUAGCGGUGAAAUGCGUAGAUAUUAGGAGGAACACCAGUGGCGAAGGCGGCUUGCUGGACUGUAAAUGACGCUGAGGCUCGAAAGCGUGGGGAGCAAACAGGA
rnacentral:rRNA from 1 species